CCCGCCGCCAUGGCCCGGGCUCCCGCCUCCGCCCCGGCGCCCCCACCGUGGCCGGACUCCCGGCGUGCCCCGCGCGGGGGGGGCCCCUCCCAGCCCCCCCCGCGCCCCGGGACCCCCCCCCAAACCCCCCUCCGCACCCCCAUGACCCCUCGGCCGCCGGGACCCCCCUCCCGCCCGCUUCCACCCCGUCCCCCGCUCUCCCGGAGGUCGCCGAGCCCCCACCGGGGCUCCCCGAAACGGCCGCGGGCCCCCCCGGGGACCCCGAGAGUCCCGCGCCCCCCGGGGUGGGCGGGGGUCCCGGCGGGUUCUUUUCGCCGACGCUCUGGGGCUGCCCCUGACCCGCCUGCGGCAAUACCGGCCCUGGGACCCCCGGGGGAGGGGGGCACCGGCGGGGGGGGGGCCCCCGGUAGGGGGGGAGGGGGGCGCGGUGGGAGAGCCGCCCCCCCCGGGAUCUGGAUGAGGCCUGGGAAGGGCAGGCCACAGGAGGCGGAGGAUGUGCAGCCCCCACCCCCCGAGCACAGCACAGAGCCUGACCCUGCCCCAACGCCCCCCCCGGAUGCGGAGCAGCCCCCAGCACAGGGCGCCGAGGACGAGGCGGUGGCGCGGGAGCUGGAGCAGCUCUACCUGUCCCACCUGCGCCGGCUGCGGGGGGACCCCGGCCACAGCGACGACCCCCCCCCGAGAAACGGGGACCCCCCGUUCCCCGAGCGAGCCCCCAACACCUCUCUGGCCAACGAGAUGGCCCUGCGCUACGAGGGCGGGGGUCGCUGCAGCCCCCCGGUGCUGCUGGGGAGGGGGGGGCCGGUGGAGGGGGCGCUGGUGGUGCCGGCGCGGCCCCCCCGGGGCAGGGGCAGCAGUUUGGGGGGGGCCCUCAGGGGGUGCGGGGUGGUUUUGGCUUUGGCCGUGCUGGUCCCGGUGGCCUGGGGGGACGGGGGGGGCCCCACGGCCGCGCUGGCCCUGGGGCUUUACCUGGCGCUGGCCUGGCUCACGUGAGGGGGGUUUGGGGGGGGGAGCCCCAAAUUGUCACCACCCAAAAAAUUGUCACCUCCCAAAAAGUCACAGCACAUCACCCCCCCCCCAUUUUACCUUUGGAAACGUGGGACACCCCUAAAUCAGUGGGGGGAAGGGGGGCACUGAGUUGCGGCGUGGGGAGAUGGAAGGGCACCCCCAAAUGAAAGGGGCACCCCCAAAUGAAAGGGGCACCCCCAAAUGGAAGGGGACCCUCAAAUUUCCCCCCCCCCCCUUCCUCAGGGGUGGAGGCACUGUCACUUUGUGGGACCCCCCCCCUCCCAAGUCAUGUGCACCCCACCCGGGUUUUGGGGCGCCCCUGUGUACAUACAGCCAUGGAACGAUGGUGUCCCCGAGUUCUUGUCGUGGGGGUUGAAUUUUGGGGCGGGGGGGGGUAAGGGAGGGUUGUGUGUCUGUGUUUAGGGGGUGGGGGCCGGGUCCCCCCCCUCUGCUGUCGCUGUCGCAGCCAUUUCCUGCCCUCGGGGAAGGUCCCAGCAAAGGUCACGGCCCGCGGUGACAAACAGCCCCCCCAGGCCCCCGGGGAUGGGGCAGGCUCACCUGUGGCUGUCGUGUCGUGGGCGCCAUGUCGUGACAGAAGGGUCUGUCACCCCCUGGGGGCAGCCGGGGGGGGUCCCGAGUGUCCUUGAAGCAGCUGGGGGGGGCCGGGUCCUGAGCCCCUUUGGAGAAUUGGGGUGUCCUGAGUGUCCUGGGAGCAGUUGGGGUGGGGUCUUGAGCCCCCUUGAAGAACUGGGGUGGUCCUGAGUAUCCUGGAACAUUUGGGGAGGGGGUCUUGAGUAUCCUGAGAGCAGCUGGGGUGGGGGUCUUGAGCCCCCUUGAAGAACUGGGGUGGUCCUGAGUAUCCUGGGAGCAACUGGGGGGGUCUUGAUCCCCACAGGAUGAAGUGGGGAGUGGUCCUAAGGCCCCCUGGAAGCAUUUGGGGGGUCCCGAGUGUCCUGGGAGCAUCUGGGGGGUGGUCCUGAGCCUCCUGGAGGUGGCCGGGAGGGGGUCCCCAGCCCCCAGUGAAGCUGCUGAGAGCAUUCUCGGUCCUCGGGGAGGGUCCUGGAUCCAGCCGAAGGAGGGUCCUGUGCCCUCAGGUGACAUUGGGGUGGUUCCAUCUCCUCAGGACUCACUGUGGGGAGCGUCCCAGUGGUUCUGGUGACAGGGGAACACUCCCAGCAGGGAGUGACAGCAGCGGUGUCACAUUUGUGGUGGAGGGGUGGCAUCCUCCCUGGGGGUGCUGCUCCCUCCGCAGUCCCUGAGCCCACUGGGUGACAGUGUUGUGUGCGUGGGAGGGGGUCCCAGCCCUCCUGGAGCCACAGUGUGGGUGGUGGUCCUGUCCCUCAGCCCCUCAGGUGACAGCAGGGUGGCGGAAAACACAGCCCUUCUGAAGUCACUAUUGGGGGGGUCUCAGACCCUCUGGACUCACUGUGGAGGUAUCCUUGGUCAUCUCCGGAUGUUCUGCUCCCCUUGUAGUCCCUCAGUCCUUUGGGUGACAUCGUGUUGGGGGUCACAGCUCCUCUGGACUCAAUGUGGGGGUGUCCUCAUCAUCCUUGGUCGUCUCCAGAUGUUCUGCUCCCUUUGUAGUCCCUCAGUCCUUUGGGUGACAUCGUGUGGGGGGUCGUGGCUCCUCUGGAGUCACAGAAGGGGACCUGCCAGCACCCAGGGGUCCUCAGCCCCUCAGGGAAUGGUGGGGGGGCGGCAGCAGCCCCUCUGAAGUCACUGCAGGAGCGUCCCAGCUCUCUAAUAUACACUGGAAGGGGGAGGAAAUCCUGUCCCAUCCAAGGGUGUCCUGCCCACCCUCACGGCCCCUCAGCCCCUGAGGAUGGGGUCCCAGUCCCUCAGGUGACAGUGCUGGCGGGACCCGUCCCCUCACGCACCCUCAGCCCCUGAGGAGGGGGUCCCAGUCCCUCAGGUGACAGUGCUGGCGGGAUCAAGGAGGGUCCCGCUGCCCUCAGCCCCUGAGGAAGGGGUCCCAGUCCCUCAGGUGACAGUGCAGGCGGGACCCGUCCCCUCAGGCGCCCUCAGCCCCUCACGGCGGGAGGGGGGCGUGGCCUCUCCCUCACGGCGGGGCUCUCGCGCCGCCCGCACGUGCGCUCCUCGCGCUGCGCAUGAGCGCUGCUCCCCGGCCCCGCCCACCGCGCUCCCGGAGCCCGCCAAAGCGCCGCGCUCCUAUUGGCCGCCCUUUUCCCGCCCGCCCCGCGUGACCGUGGCGUCGCCAUGGCAACCGGCCAAUGGGGCAGCGCGCGAGUGACGAGAGGGUGGGCGGGGCUUCGGCGGCGGCGGCGGCGCGCGCGGUUUUUCGGCCCUGG
ensembl:lncRNA